GACGAACGCUGGCGGCGUGCCUAAUACAUGCAAGUCGAACGAGAGCGACCGGUGCUUGCACUGGUCAAUCUAGUGGCGAACGGGUGAGUAACACGUGGGUAACCUGCCCAUCAGAGGGGGAUAACAUCCGGAAAAGGAUGCUAAAACAGCAUAGGUCUUCGAACCGCAUGGUUUGAAGAGGAAAAGAGGCGCAAGCUUCUGCUGAUGGAUGGACCCGCGGUGCAUUAGCUAGUUGGUGAGGUAACGGCUCACCAAGGCCGUGAUGCAUAGCCGACCUGAGAGGGUGAUCGGCCACAUUGGGACUGAGACACGGCCCAGACUCCUACGGGAGGCAGCAGUAGGGAAUCUUCCGCAAUGGACGCAAGUCUGACGGAGCAACGCCGCGUGAGUGAAGAAGGUUUUCGGAUCGUAAAAUUCUGUUGUUAGGGAAGAACAAGUGCUAGAGUAACUGUUAGCGCCUUGACGGUAUCUAACCAGAAAGCCACGGCUAACUACGUG
rnacentral:rRNA from 1 species